GUCUGGUAUAAGAUAUUUUAUCUUCCCUUAUUUCCUUUACAUUCUUUAUAAUAGUGGGAGUCCAGCAAACAAGCUUACAGUAUGAGAGAAAUCCACAGUAAUCCGUGGAUAAACUGUAGUUUAUAGAUGUUUGCUCUUGACUGAACCUCAUCAGCCUUCCCAAAGUGGAGAGAGAUGCAGCAUUGAGAACGUCUGAGACGCUUCGUUCAAGAAAGUCUUUUUGUAUCCUGCACCUCAAAGUAACUGCCUUGUCCCCUUCAAUACUUAUACUGUGUUUCCUCCUUCUUUUUCAGUGGAGGUGCUUGGCCAGCCAGGGAAUGGCUCAUGGAAAAUGAGCAACUAUUCUGACCUCGCAUUAUAAUGUAAACAACAACAUAGAACAAGGAUCAUCAUGUUGGUGGAAGUUUUGGCUUAGGAGUUCUUAAAUCCUUCAUAGAUUAUACACAAUGUUUCAGAAGAACUAGAGAGUACGCAGUUACAGAAACUGGACACAAUCGUAGAGAGUAUGGCUUUCCAGUGAUGCAUCUGGCCUAUUGGAAGCUCUGCCUACUGAGAAGGUCACCUGACAAUGUAUUUAACAUCUCAGACUUAAUAAUAUGAAAGGAAGAGCAAAGCAAUUAUUCUAAUUCUUUAUAAAUGUCUUAAGUGUCUUCUGUUUCGUCUCAUUUUUUAAUGCUUUUUAUUUUUGUUCUCCUGAUUGCAUUUUUACUUUGUUUAUGUCUACAUUAGUCUGUCUAUACAUAUUUCUUUAAUUUUGUGGGUUUGAGCUAAUAUAGCUUC
rnacentral:lncRNA from 1 species